GAUACUCCAAUAAUAUACGACUUUAUAACUGAUUAAAGUUUUCAUCGGCAGAUGAAAUAACAACUCAGCUGCAUAUUGUACUUAUUCAGUGUACAUUGCAUUAUUUUUAAACUAUACAGCGAUGAAGAAUUAAUUU